AGCUCCAAUAGCGUAUAUUAAAGUUGCUGCAGUUAAAAAGCUCGUAGUUGCAUUUCCGAGGCAAGGGAUUAGUCCGACCUUUGGUGGGUAUUUAAUCCUCUUGCCUCGUCCUUGAGUGGUGCUUCUUGGUAUUAAGUUAUCGAGGAGAUAGCCGCUCAUCGUUUACUGUGAGAAAAUUAGAGUGUUCAAAGCAGGCUUAUGCCGUUGAAUAUAUUAGCAUGGAAUAAUAAGAUAGGACCUCGGUACUAUUUUGUUGGUUUGAGAACCAAGGUAAGGAUGAAUAGGGACAGUUGGGGGUAUUCGUAUUCAGUUGUCAGAGGUGAAAUUCUUAGAUUUACGGAAGACGAACUACUGCGAAAGCAUUUACCAAGGAUGUUUGCA
rnacentral:rRNA from 1 species